AGAAACAUUAAAAAAAAAAAAAACCAUUCAUUCCUCCAAAUCGGAGCCAUAAUCAAAUUAUGGAAGACACCAAGGUGGCAGCGACUCAGAUCCAGGCCUUGAACAAGUCCAGGCUCCGAACAAGACCUAUAAAUAAGUGGUUAGUCGAUCUCUACAAAGACCUGUCUAGAAAAGCUGAAAGGUAGCCCUGAAGUGGGAGAAAGUGUAAAGAGCACAGUAAUAUUCUAGGAAUGUCUUUGCAGGUUUGAGAAUUUACCAAGAUCGGGGGAUGUAAGCUUCAUGGGUGGAAAGGGUCCGCCCCAUGUAACUGAGUUUGGCGGGAGUAUGGAUGCAGGAAUCCCUUUCUCUUGUUUUCCUGCAGAAAAGAAAGUAAAUGGGAGCAUCUGGGACCGUGAGGGCCCCAUAAUGGGCCAACCCGGGCUAAAAUUCUCCAUACCUUCUCCCCGGGCAUAGGCAAAGGGCAGCCUGACCCUUCUCCCUGGACUGCCACUUCCCCAAGGCAACCCAGGGACCGGCUCCAACAUCUUCAAGUUUUCAAGUAUAGUCCUUCAACACUCGGUCUCAAUUUCCUCAACUCCCCGGCCUGCUGUGUCCUCUGCUGUCCCAUCUUUGGUGUUUCUAGGGGCAUCAUCAAAAUAGAAGGGGAGCAUCACAACAGCUUCCACUGGAGGCUGAGAUGGAACCUGCUGGGCAGUGAACGCCCUUGGCAUUGGAGAGCAAAGUCAUCACUGAAAACAAAGACAACCAGUGAGCUAUUUUGUGCACAAGCGGUCCCUUUGCUGUUCUCAUGAAGCCAGAAACAAAUAUCCUGGAAUCAUUGGCUAGCGGCCAAGAAGAAGACCUGGGGUCCAAACUUGCUUAACCCCAAAUGCUGUGCUCUUUUCACUGCAUCGUCCUAUGUGCCUCGCUGGAUCCCGGGAAGGCUUGACUGGUAAGACCAGAAGACACAAGGAUGGGCUGGAAGGUGGCCAUGCUUGAAAAAGAGAUCUUUUGGAGAGCACACUUAGAAGUCAGUAUUGCUUUUAGCAACACAGGGAUCCUGCUAGGGGUCCCACCAAGAAGGAAGAAUCCCUCCUUUUGAGGGCAACCAUGAUGCUGCAGAAGUGAAGGCAUCAGGGAGACUUGGGGCAAGACAUAGGAGCAAGUGUCAUGGCAGCCAUGCCCAGAAUGGGAAGUCAAGGCACAAAGCCAACCCAGUCCACAGGUGGGGGACAUUCUCAUCAGCCAUACUUAAGAUAGUUCUCCCUCUACUAAUGUGGUUAGUUGUGUAAAAUGUAGAGACAUGGCCCCAGUGAUGGUCAAGUGUUUUCAGUGUAUGCUUUCCCAGUCAGACUUUCCCUUCAACUUCUUUUAUUUUGUUAUUAGUCAAGAUGCCCCAGUAUUUGGGGAUUGCUUGCUAAUUCCACUUAAAUUUGUAGUCUAAUUCUGGAUUGGGUAGACAAAGAAGAACCUUCUUCCCGUGCCCCUCACAACAGUAAGUACCUUGAAAACUACUUGAGUGGGGCGCCUGGGUGGUUCAGUCGGUUGAGCGUCCGACUUGGGCUCUGGUCACGAUCUCCUGGUUCAUGAGCUCCAGCCCCACAUUGGACUCUCUGCUGACAGCACAGAUCCUGCUCUGGAUUCUCCGUCACGCUCUCUCUCUGCCCCUCCCCCACUUGCUCAUUCGCUCUUUCUCUCUCUCUCUCUCAAAAAUAGUAAACAUUAAAAAAAAAAAAAAAAAAGACCCGAUGAUUCACUCAGUUCUUUACGUAGCUUCACGCUUCCCUCUUUUCUUUCUCUCCAGUCUCUUUCCCUUUCCUCUCCUUCUACUGUGUCAGCGAAACUUGUCUUUACUGGGGCAAUCCCAGCCCAUAUGUCCAUUAUACAUCCCUUCCCCAAGUCCUAUGGGAGCUGGUUCUUGUCUCCUGUCCUUCCUAGCCUGUCUGCAGGCUGGCUGAGAAAUCAGGAGGCGGCCUGGGACCCCUGCCCUGGGCUCACUCCUCAGGCCCAGCCCCUCUCUUGCACUCACGUGUCUGAACUGCUCGUGUGAAUGCAGACUUUGUGUCUGAAUGUCUGUGGAAAGCUGUUUAUGCGUCUGCAGGCCCAAGGGGGCUCAUUUGCAGAGCUCUUACCUAAGCAGGGCUGGCUCCAAGCCCCAGGGGCCCCAAGAGGGCUCGCUAGGCCUCCCGGCAAGGGCGCAAUUAGGGCACUGUGGAGAGCCAUGGCUGUCCGUCAGCUCUCCGCUUCCAAAAACAAGCCUCUGACUUGAGACCAAGCCUCUCCGCUUGUUUAUAUCAGCAGGUUCUCAAGUCUGAGAUCUCCCGGUGGGGCUAAAGCCUUCAUGGCAGCUCUAUAUUCGUCAUGUGUUUAUGUGUGAGGCAGAUCCUCAGGCGCCCGCUUGGACCGUGUCCCCGGGCCCAGAUGCGGAGGGAGACACAAAUCGGCCCUGUGCUAUCUGGACUGACCAGGCGCUCCUUUCUUUUACCCCAGUGGUUCUGUGUCUUCACACAAGGGUGUGUGAAGACAGCCGAGUUCCCUUCCGAUCUGCUCUUUUAUCUGGUUUCGUUUUCAAGACAUUCUGAAGCCUUAGCAGCAGUUUGGUAGGUGGUUGAGUAGACGGCUGUCCUUUUGCGGAGCCUGGAGGAAGGAAUGAUGGCUCUCGUUCUGGUUUUCUGUCAGCAUAAUCGGUCUACUUCGUGUGGGAUGAGAGGGAGAACAUUCCAGUGAAGACAGUGAAGAACACUGCUUCGGGUCUUUACGUUGGAAGUGGUGGCCAGUAAUGUUGAUGAAGACUUAUUACACAUAUCCCAGUUUUCUUCAUAAAUCCAUGAUGGCGGUGCUGCUGCUGACGGCAGUAGGGGUGGGGGUGAUGGGGAUGAGGCCGGAGGAAGAAGAGGAGGAGGAGGAAGAAAGGGAGGAGGGGUGGCAAACAGGAGUACUCAUUUCCAGCAUUAUUGUUCCUGGCUCUGAGACCUCCUCUUGGCCUACAACAUCGCCCAAAUGGCAUCCCCUUUGACUUGGUGUUCCAUUCACUCUGAUUUUAUCAGCACUCCGAAACACUGAGUUUUCGUGGACACCGGCGGGACCUGAAAUGAACUGAAUGGAGUCAUUUCUCACAGAACUUCCCAGUAUCAAGGUCUCCUGGAGACAGUCUGAUCAUCUGUAUGUGUCGUUAACUUGUUAGCUCACCUCGGCAAUCUUUAGGUGCGGAAAGAAAUACCAGUGAGGAAUACAGUGCUUUGAACCCAAGACCUGUUUGGGGAAAAGCAUCUAUUUUGGGUCAGACAGAUGAGAGUUCAAACCCCAGGCUUUUCAUUUCCUAGCAAUUUACUUUUU